rnacentral:lncRNA from 1 species
ACAAUAUUGUGCAAUUAGAUAUUUCUUGCUAUUGUGCAAUACUGUGCAAUUGGAAAUUUCUUGCUAUUCCACAAUACUCAAUGUGAUAAUUUUGAAUCCUGAUUUGGACCAACUUGAAAACUGGGCCCAUAAUCAAAAAUCAAAGUACAUGUUUAGAUAAAGCAUAUCAAAGAAGCCCAAGAAUUUAAUUUUUGUUAAAAUCAAACUUAGUUUAAUUUUG